rnacentral:rRNA from 1 species
UACGGAGGGUGCAAGCGUUAUCCGGAUUCACUGGGUUUAAAGGGUGCGUAGGUGGGAAUGUAAGUCAGUGGUGAAAUCUCCGUGCUUAACUGGGAAACUGCAUCGGAAACUGAUCGGCUUGAAGGUGGGAGAGGGUAGUGGAAUUCCCGGUGUAGUGGUGAAAUGCGUAGAUAUCGGGAGGAACACCAGUGGCGAAGGCGACUACCUGGGCCUGGCCUGACGCUGAGGCGCGAAAGCGUGGGGAGCAAUCCGG